rnacentral:rRNA from 1 species
UGUAGCAAUACAAGGCAUACGGCUCAGUAACGCGUAGUCAACCUACCUUAUGGACGGGGAUAACCUCGGGAGACUGAGAAUAAUACCCGAUAGAACAUAAUUCCUGGAAUGGUUUAUGUUUCAAAUAAUUUAUUGCCGUAGGAUGGGACUGCGGCCUAUCAGUUUGUUGGUGAGGUAAUGGCCCACCAAGACUAUUACAGGUACGGGCUCUGAGAGGAGUAGCCCGGAGAUGGGUACUGAGACACGGACCCAGGCCCUAUGGGGCGCAGCAGGCGAGAAAACUUUGCAAUGUGCGAAAGCACGACAAGGUUAAUCCGAGUGGUUUCUGCUAAAGGAACCUUUUGACAGUCCUAGAAACACUGUUGAAUAAGGGGUGGGCAAGUUCUGGUGUCAGCCGCCGCGGUAAAACCAGCACCUCAAGUGGUCAGGAUGAUUAUUGGGCCUAAAGCAUCCGUAGCCUGCUUUGUAAGUUUUCGGUUAAAUCCAUACGCUCAACGUAUGGGCUGCCGGGAAUACUGCAAAGCUAGGGAGUGGGAGAGGUAGACGGUACUCGGUAGGAAGGGGUAAAAUCCUUUGAUCUAUUGAUGACCACCUGUGGCGAAGGCGGUCUACCAGAACACGUCCGACGGUGAGGGAUGAAAGCUGGGGGAGCAAACCGGAUUAGAUACCCGGGUAGUCCCAGCUGUAAACUAUGCAAACUCGGUGAUGCAUUGGCUUGAUGCCAAUGCAGUGCCGCAGGGAAGCCGUUAAGUUUGCCGCCUGGGAAGUACGUACGCAAGUAUGAAACUUAAAGGAAUUGGCGGGGGAGCACCACAAGGGGUGAAGCCUGCGGUUCAAUUGGA